rnacentral:rRNA from 1 species
GAUGAACGCUGGCGGCGUGCUUAACACAUGCAAGUCGAACGGUGAAGGCGGAGCUUGCUCUGCUGGAUCAGUGGCGCACGGGUGAGUAACACGUGAGCAAUCUGCCCCUGACUCUGGGAUAAGCGCUGGAAACGGCGUCUAAUACUGGAUACGAGCUGCGAAGGCAUCUUCAGCAGCUGUAAAGAACUUCGGUCAGGGAUGAGCUCGCGGCCUAUCAGCUUGUUGGUGAGGUAACGGCUCACCAAGGCGUCGACGGGUAGCCGGCCUGAGAGGGUGACCGGCCACAAUGGGACUGAGACACGGCCGAGAGUCGUACGGGAGACAGCAGUGGGGAGUGUUGCACAAUGGGAGCAAGCCUGAUGCAGCAACGCCGCGUGAGGGACGACGGCUUUCUGGUUGUAAACCUCUUUUAGCAGGGAAGAAGCGAAAGUGACGGUACCUGCAGAAAAAGCGCCGGCUAACUACGUG